AAACCAACAGGGAUUGCCUUAGUAACUGCGAGUGAAGCGGCAAGAGCUCAAAUUUGAAAUCUGGCAUCCGCCCGAAUUGUAAUUUGUAGAAGCAACUUUUGAAUUAGUCCUUGCAUAUGUUCCUUGGAACAGGACAUCAUAGAGGGUGAGAAUCCCGUUCAUGGUGGGGAGUCUAAUUCUUUGUAAAGUGCUUUCGACGAGUCGAGUUGUUUGGGAAUGCAGCUCUAAGUGGGUGGUAAAUUCCAUCUAAAGCUAAAUAUUGGCGAGAGACCGAUAGCGAACAAGUACAGUGAUGGAAAGAUGAAAAGUACUCCGAAAGGAGAGUGAAAUAGGACGUGAAAUUGUUAAAAGGGAAGUGCUUGAGAUCAGUGAUAGAGUUUAGUGAUCAGCUUUCUUUUUAGUUUGUGCACUUGCUAUUCUCUAGGCCAGCAUCAGUUUGGGAGGUAGGAUAAUUGCAUAGGAAUGUGGCUGUUUCGGCAGUGUUAUAGCCUGUGUCGAUACUACUUGCCAGACUGAGGACCGCGCAUUUUUGCUAGGAUGUUGGCAUAAUGAUCUUAAGCAGC
rnacentral:rRNA from 1 species